GACGAACCGUGCGAACGUUAUUCGGAAUCACUGGGCUUAAAGCGCGUGUAGGCGGGCCGGCACGUCCGUGGCUGAAAGCCCCCGGCUCAACCGGGGAAGUGGCGCGGAUACGGCCGGCCUGGAGGGGGGUAGGGGGACCUGGAACUUCCGGUGGAGCGGUGAAAUGCGUUGAGAUCGGAAGGAACGCCCGUGGCGAAAGCGGCUCUCUGGAACGGUACUGACGCUGAGACGCGAAAGCGUGGGGAGCGAACAGG
rnacentral:rRNA from 1 species